AAAGUUUCCAUUUUUUUAUGCAAGAAAAGAUCAAGAUAGAAAGAAAAUACUACUACAAUUACUUCUCCAUUUUGUGCACUUUGGUUAUAUUUUAGAUAAUUUUAUAUCAAGUUGUAUAUUUUUGUUAUUUUUUCUUCUUCUUCUUUUUUGUUAUGGCCAAACACCUAUAACAAAGUCUCCUUGAUGCACUUGAGAGUAGGCGCCCACUUUUUGGCCUAAUGCUUUUUGAAUUUCCAAAUCCCAAUCCUUUGUGUCUCCGUCUCUCUCCGGUUGGGUUUCAAAUCAAACAACAAAAGUUAAAAAUGCUCAAUUACACCCACUUCACUCUCCCAUCCAAUCUUCUCUCUUUCUCUUUUUGCACGUUCCCAUCUUCUUAAAAUCCAAAUCUGUCAUUCAUAAAAAUUGCACAUUUUACCCAUCCAACAAUUAUAGAAUAAACUCCGAAGAUUCGAUAAAGACCCUUUUGGCUUCUACUGGCGGUGAUACCGUUAAGCUAUUUGACCUCUCUCUAGAAUCCCGUGAUCCCUGCAUUCUUAGCUACACUCCUUCCCCCGGCUUUCAAGUCAACUCCGUCAAGUGGAACCACGCUAAUUCGGUGGUGGCAAGCGCUGUAGCUGACAAGAAGAUAUCAUUGUGGAGGAAAAAUGGAUAGAGUUUGGGGACUGUACCAAUGGGCGGCACUGAUGGUGCUGAUAAUAUCGAGAUAGAAAUCUGGUGUCUAAGUGGAGAAGGAAGAUGGUGGGCCCAUUAUCUACCAAGUUUUGAACCAUUCACCACGGACCCUUGUGGAAUCGAAAAAAUGUUGAUUUUAAUAAAUUAUGCAUGUACCAUCUAAUUCAAUCUUUGAUAGCCAUGUAUCAUCUAAUACACUGAUAGUGUCAUGUAGAUUGGUGGACGUUGCACUGAUUAGUGGAUAUUGCACUCAAAUAUUCUUCAA